GGUCUCCGUAGGUGGACCUGCGGAGGGAUCAUUACAGAGUUUUUAACUCCCAACCCAUGUGAACUUACCACUGUUGCCUCGGCGGCAGGUCGUCUCUCGGGAUGGCAGCCGCCGGUGGACUUCUAAACUAUUGUUAAUUUUUGGCAUUCUGAAUUUUAAACUUAAUAAGUUAAAACUUUCAACAACGGAUCUCUUGGUUCUGGCAUCGAUGAAGAACGCAGCGAAAUGCGAUAAGUAAUGUGAAUUGCAGAAUUCAGUGAAUCAUCGAAUCUUUGAACGCACAUUGCGCCCAUUAGUAUUCUAGUGGGCAUGCCUGUUCGAGCGUCAUUUCAAUCCUUAAGCCUUGCUUAGUGUUGGGAGACUGCCUAAACCGCAGCUCCUCAAAGACAGUGGCAGAGUCUAGGUGUGCUCUGAGCGUAGUAAUUCUUUUAUCUCGCUUCUGUAAGCCGCCCUAUGGCAUAGCCAUAAGCCUUUUUUAUACCGAAAUGUUGACCUCGGAUCAGGUAGGAUUA
rnacentral:rRNA from 1 species